GUCAUGUCCCGGGGACGGUGGAACUCCGUACCGGCGGUGAGAGUCCGCGAACCGGCCAGUGGGCCGGCCGAUCUGGUGGAAUUCCAGGACCGACAGUCAGAGUCUGGAGGGGAGGCGCAUGAC
rnacentral:ncRNA from 2 species